GCCGCUUUCAUCCAUGUUAAAAAUGUUUAACAUGCUGUUUGUAUUUAUUUUGCUUAAAUGCCAUGCUAAAAUGAUUUAUUUCAUAACUAAAUAACCGUAGCUCCGAUUUUAAUAAACUUUAUAUCUAAAUGGGGUGGAAAAAUGCCUAGUUUAACAUGGUCCACUUUAUUUUCCUGUUUAACAACAAUAAAAUUGUGUUUAGGGCAGAACAGUACCAAAACUAGAAUAUGGACAUGAGGAUUUUCGGGAAUUGUUGUUUGUUGUUCCGGCCUCAUUUAAACUUGCCUAGAUAGGUAGUUUCAUUAUGUUUCACCCCUUGCCAUGCUAAUAACAUUUAAUAUUGUUGGGUACAUAACCGAGAUCAAACUAAAUACUUGCAUGUGGUGUUUUGUCAAUAUGCAACUCGUUGCAUAUUGAGCUCCACUUAAUUUGUAGUAUUGUGUGUUGCAGUUUGCCAUGCCAUGCCUCUUUAAACCGGACAUGCAUCAUACUUGAUUGUGCAUCAUGCCAUGAUUAUGCUUGUGCAUUUACUAUGUUGUUUGUUUCUUUUCGGUGUUGCUUCUUUGUUCCGGUAAUGUUGCGAUUGUGAGGAUUUGUUCGACUACUUCCGCUUGUCUUCUUCAUGGACUCGUUCUUCUUCCUUGCGGGAUUUCAGGCAAGAUGACCGCUACCCUGGAUCUCACUACUAUCAUUGCUAUGCUAGUUGCUUCGUUCUAUCGCUUUGCUGCGCUACCUAUCAUCUGUUUGUCGAGCCAUCCCAUGUUGCCAUGAACCUCUAACCUUUGACACCUUUCCUAUGCAAACCGUUGCUUGGCUAUGUUACCGCUUUGCUCAGCCCCUCUUAUAGCGUUGCUAGUUGCAGGUGAAGUUGAAGAUUGCUCCAUGGUGGACAGGAUUUUGGUUGGGAUAUCACAAUAUCUCUUAUAUUAUUAAUGCAUUUAUAUAUUUGGUAAAGGGUGGAAGGCUCGGCCUUAUGCCUGGUGUUUUGUUCCACUCUUGCCGCCGUAGUUUCCGUCAUACCGGUGUUAUGUUCCCGGAUUUUGCGUUCCUUACGCGGUCGGGUGAUUUAUGGGACCCCCUUGACAGUUCACUUUGAAUAAAACUCCUCCAGCAAGGCCCAACAUUGACUUUUACCAUUUGCCUCACCACCACCUAUAUUUCCCUUGGGAGUAAUUAACCCAAGGGUCAUCUUUAUUAUAGCCCCCCCGGGCCAAUGCUUGUCUAAGUGUUGGUCCAAACUAGAGCACCGUGCGGGGCCAUCCCUUGGCAACUUGGGUUACGUCGGUUCCUGUACGAUUUGCUUAUCCGGUGUUGCCCUGAGAACGAGAUAUGUGCAGCUCCUAUCGGGAUUGUCGGCGCAUAGGGCGGCUUUGCUGGUCUUGUUUUACCAUUGUCGAAAUGUCUUGUAAACUGGGAUUCCGAGUCUGAUCGGGUCUUCCUGGGAGAAGGUCUAUUCCUUCGUUGAUCGCGAGAGCUUGUCAUGGGCUAAGUUGGGACACCCCUGCAGGGUAUAAUCUUUCGAAAGCCAUGCCUGCGGUUAUUGGCAGAUGGGAAUUUGUUAAUGUCCGGUUGUAGAUAACUUGACACCAGAUCCGAUUUAAAACGCAUCAACCGCGUGUGUAGCCGUGAUGGUCUCUUCUCGGCGGAGUCCGGGAAGUGAACACGGUUUCUGGGUUAUGUUUGACGUAAGUAGGAGUUCAGGAUCACUUCUUGAUCAUUGUUAGCUGACGACCGUUCCGCUUGCUCUCUUCUCGCUCUUAUUUGCGUAUGUUAGCCACCAUAUAUGCUUAGUCGCUGUUGCAGCCUCACCACUUUACCCCUUCCUUUCCUAUUAAGCUUUGCUAGUCUUGAUACCCAUGGUAAUGGGAUUGCUGAGUCCUCGUGGCUCACAGAUUACUACAACAACAGUUGUAGGUACAGGUUAUGCGAUGAUCAUGACGCGAGAGCGAUGCUUGCUUGCGUUGAGUUCUUCUUCUCCUUCUUCUUCGAUCAGGGGAUAGGUUCCAGGUCGGCAGCCUGGGCUAGCAGGGUGGAUGUCGUUUGAGUUUCUGUUUGUGAUUCAUCCUUAGACGGAUGUUGAUCUUAUGUAUGAUGAUGUUGUAUUCAUGUGGCACUUUAUGCCUUAUGUAUGUAUCCCCAUCUAUUAUGUAAUGUUGAUGUAAUGAUAUCCACCUUGCAAAAGCGUUUCAAUAUGCGGGUCUAUCCUUGGUGGGACCUUCGAGUUCCUUUUGGAUAGGGUCGCAUAUUGGGCGUGACAGCUGUUUUUAGCAGAACUGUCAUGGUGUUAUUUUUGUGCAGAAACAAAAGUUCUCAGGAUGACCUGAAAAUCCACGGAGAUAAGUUUCAGAAAAUAUAAAAAAUACUGGCAAAAGAUGAAGGCCAGGGG
rnacentral:lncRNA from 1 species